AGGAGAUGUAAUGGGGCCGCCUGCGUGAGACACAAGGUGGGGCUUGCUGGAGCAGCUGUUAGAAGAAACAAGCUUUCUGUGCUGUCUUGAGGAUCCCCAUUUGAAAGACAUAGAGAAGAUGGAAACGGGCUGUCCACAAUUUAAAUGGGAGUACCAGAGAGGGAUGGAUGUAGUAACUUGCAGGAUCUGGAUGCAGGAACUUGAAACAUCAGAGGUGUUUGGGGGGCAAGCUAGAAGAAUUGCGUGUGCAAUUUGUUGUUAACCCCUCUACUGCUUGUCUUAAAAUAUUUGGGUUUAUGUGUCCUCUAUUUAUUAAAGUUCUGUUUAAACUUG